ACGGGGACCCGCACAAGCAGCGGAGCGUGUGGUUUAAUUCGAUGCUACACGAAGAACCUUACCAGGGUUUGACAUGCAAGUGGUAGGAAUCUGAAAAGGGACCGACCCUUCGGGGAGCUUUGCACAGGUGCUGCAUGGCUGUCGUCAGCUCGUGUCGUGAGAUGUUCGGUUAAGUCCGCUAACGAGCGCAACCCUCACUGUGUGUUAUAUGUGUCACGACGGGACUGCCGGUUUUAAGCCGGAGGAAGGUGGGAUGACGUCAAGUCAGCAUGGCCUUUAUAUCCUGGGCUACACACACGCUACAAUGGUCGGUACAAUAGGUUGCCAAGCCGCGAGGCGGAGCCAAUCCACAAAGCCGGCCUCAGUUCAGAUUGUAGGCUGCAACUCGCCUGCAUGAAGCCGGAGUUGCUAGUAACCGCAGGUCAGCAAUACUGCGGUGAAUACGUUCCCGGGUCUU
rnacentral:rRNA from 1 species